UACAGAGGUCUCAAGCGUUGUUCGGAUUCAUUGGGCGUAAAGGGUGCGUAGGUGGCGCCAUAAGUCGGGUGUGAAAUCUCGGGGCUUAACUCCGAAACUGCAUUCGAUACUGUGGUGCUUGAGGACUGGAGAGGAGACUGGAAUUCAUGGUGUAGCAGUGAAAUGCGUAGAGAUCAUGAGGAAGACCAGUGGCGAAGGCGGGUCUCUGGACAGUUCCUGACGCUGAGGCGCGAAGGCCAGGGGAGCAAACGGG
rnacentral:rRNA from 1 species